CAGCCGCCACGGUAAUACGGAGGGUGCAAGCGUUAAUCGGAAUUACUGGGCGUAAAGCGCACGCAGGCGGUUUGUUAAGUCAGAUGUGAAAUCCCCGGGCUCAACCUGGGAACUGCAUUUGAAACUGGCAAGCUAGAGUCUCGUAGAGGGGGGUAGAAUUCCAGGUGUAGCGGUGAAAUGCGUAGAGAUCUGGAGGAAUACCGGUGGCGAAGGCGGCCCCCUGGACGAAGACUGACGCUCAGGUGCGAAAGCGUGGGGAGCAAACAGGAUUAGAUACCCGGGUAGUCCCUGUCUCUUAUAC
rnacentral:rRNA from 1 species